rnacentral:misc_RNA from 1 species
GGCAUGCCUGUUCGAGCGUCAUUAUGACCAAUCACGCAAGUGGUAUUGGGGCUUGCCGUUCGGCAUCCCUUAAAGCUAGUGGCGGUGCCCUAGGCUCUCAGCGUAGUACAUACGCCGCUGUUGAGCCCUAGAAGUACCUGCCGGAACCCCAACUUUCUACGGUUGACCUCGGAUCAGGUAGGGAUACCCGCUGAACUUAA